rnacentral:rRNA from 1 species
GAUGAACGCUAGCUACAGGCUUAACACAUGCAAGUCGAACGGUAACAUGAGUAGCAAUACUUGAUGACGAGUGGCGCACGGGUGCGUAACGCGUAUGCAAUCUACCUUCAACUGGUGAAUAGCCCGAAGAAAUUCGGAUUAAUACACCAUAGUAUAUUUGAGUGGCAUCAUUUAAAUAUUAAAACUCCGGUGGUUGAAGAUGAGCAUGCGUGACAUUAGCUAGUUGGUGAGGUAACGGCUCACCAAGGCUACGAUGUCUAGGGGAUCUGAGAGGAUUAACCCCCACACUGGUACUGAGACACGGACCAGACUCCUACGGGAGGCAGCAGUAAGGAAUAUUGGACAAUGGUCGCAAGACUGAUCCAGCCAUGCCGCGUGCAGGAUGACAGCCCUAUGGGUCGUAAACUGCUUUUGUGCGAGAAAAAACCCCUCUACGUGUAGAGGGCUGAUUGUAUCGUAAGAAUAAGGAUCGGCUAACUCCGUGCCAGCAGCCGCCGUAA